GUGGGGAAUAUUGCACAAUGGGCGAAAGCCUGAUGCAGCAACGCCGCGUGAGGGACGACGGCCUUCGGGUUGUAAACCUCUUUUAGUAGGGAAGAAGCGAAAGUGACGGUACCUGCAGAAAAAGCACCGGCUAACUACGUGCCAGCAGCCGCGGUAAUACGUAGGGUGCAAGCGUUAUCCGGAAUUAUUGGGCGUAAAGAGCUCGUAGGCGGUCUGUCGCGUCUGCUGUGAAAACUGGAGGCUCAACCUCCAGCCUGCAGUGGGUACGGGCAGACUAGAGUGCGGUAGGGGAGAUUGGAAUUCCUGGUGUAGCGGUUGAAUGCGCAGAUAUCAGGAGGAACACCGAUGGCGAAGGCAGAUCUCUGGGCCGUAACUGACGCUGAGGAGCGAAAGCGUGGGGAGCGAACAGGAUUAGAAACCCGAGUAGUCC
rnacentral:rRNA from 1 species